rnacentral:rRNA from 1 species
UACGUAGGUGGCAAGCGUUGUCCGGAAUUAUUGGGCGUAAAGCGCGCGCAGGCGGUCCUUUAAGUCUGAUGUGAAAGCCCACGGCUCAACCGUGGAGGGUCAUUGGAAACUGGGGGACUUGAGUGCAGAAGAGGAAAGCGGAAUUCCACGUGUAGCGGUGAAAUGCGUAGAGAUCGGCAGGAACACCCAGGGGGAAACCAGCCGACUGGGCAUCGACUGACGCUGAGGUGCGAGAGCGUGGGGAGCGAACCGG